AGCUCUUGAAGUGUUGGGUUCUUUUUUGUGCGGUAGAGAUGUAGCUCAAUGGAGAAGUGCAAUCCAAAGACUUGAAAAGGAUUCUAACAAAGAGAUUAUUGACAGACUUCGAAUUAGUUUUUCCCGGAUAUCGGAAUCGAUGUUCUCAUUAAGAAGUCUCUACUAACAGUUGACGAAAACAACAAAUUGUGGAUGCACAACUUACUACAAGAAAUGGGAAGAAGAAUUGUUUGGGAAAAGUCUAUUGAGGAGCCUGGAAAACGUUGUAGAUUGUGGGAGGAAAAGGAUGUGUAUCAUGUGCUAACGAAGAACACUGAUAUCCAACAAGAUGCUCAGUUUGAAUGUUAAUGCCGUCUCGAAGAUGAAAAAAUUGAGAUUGCUCAAAGUCCUUUGCCUCUCAAAUUGUGAUGAACUCAAAUAUAUCUUCCUAAUGAGUUACGGCUUUUAGAUUGGAUGGGAUAUCCUUUAAGAUUCUUACCUCCAAGCUUCCAACCAGACAACCUGGUUGCACUUCUGCUACCAUACAGUCUCAUUGAACAAUUAUGGAAGGGAAAAAUAGUAAGAACUAAUUCUUACCUCCAAGGAUUAGUUACUAUUUGAUUUUAUUAAAGCCUUACUGGCUGAAGACGAGGACAACACAUUAAAGACUCCCUCUGAGAAAAGAAAAAUGGAAGAAGCAGAGGAAGACUGAACGAGCUAAGAAAGUACAUCAGCUUGAUUUGAUUAUUUUUGGUAAUAUCUCUUUGAAGAUUUCAUUCUAAUGUGGCUUACUAUUUGAGGUGGCAGAGGUUGAAAAUGCGGAUCUUGGAAAGGCACUACUCAGAGCCCUGGAAGAGCUAUUUGAUCUGCCUUCACAAACAAAAGAGCUCUAUGUUUCUAACAAAGCCUUUCGUGGCUAUUCGGGGGUUGCAAUUGGAUUAUUACAUGUAUGGUUAAAUGGUCGAUUGUGUGUCUUAUCACUGAAUUGUGAUGAAGGGAAACAGGGUACGAUACAUUUGCAAGGUUCCAGAAAAGCUUCUAGAUGACCAAAAUGGCUUGUUCAUGAUAAUUCAUUUAUUGCAAGGCUUCAUCAAAUACAAGUAUUCUUGAUUCCGACACCAUUCGCCCUAGUCCUUGUGGCAGCAGGUGCAACUGAAGUCAUGGCUUCAACCAGAAUGGUGGACUUCAUUAAACUGGCAAGUUUCCACGGCCGCCGUUGUUGCUAUUUUCUUGUAAUUUGCUUUGCUCAAAUCUCAUUUGCAUCCUCCAAUUAGUAUUAUAAUCUACCAUUAACCUUCAAACUCUAUAAUUGUAAGUGCACCAGAGGAGGACGUUGCUAGUCGUAAUUUACUUGAACAUGUAAUAGGUAGGAGGGUUGAAUCCAUUGUAAGUGUAUUCUCUAUCUCGGAAGAAUCAAUUGUACGAAU